GUAGUAGAGUCUCAAUGAUAUUAACAUGCAUAUUGUGAAAUAAUGUAGCACAAAAAUUGAGAUCAGGAUGAAAGAACUUAGCUGAAUGUUAUCAGAGAAUGUUAUCAGAGUAAAGCAAUCAGAGUAAUUAAAGAACUUAGCUGAGAUUCAUGAUUACUCAUUCAGAACAUGCUUCAUGGUAUCUUCAUAGGUGAUUUGUCUCAGAGAAGAUAAAAAUGAGAUCAUUUAUCAAGAUUCAGAGUUUUAUAAGCAUCAGAGAAUAUUAUCAGAGAAUGUUAUCAGAGUAAAGCAAUCAGAGUAUAUCAUCAGAGAAUGUCAUCAGAUUUUAUCAAUCAGAGUAUAUCAUGGCAAAUGUGUGUGUAAUACAUAUGGUAAUUUUGACAAUUUAAAUGUUAAAGAUCUAACCCAUAUGUUUACUCAGUUCCUGAUAUCAUUCCUAGCUCAUUCACCAGCCUAGUAAAAGUUGC
rnacentral:lncRNA from 1 species